rnacentral:lncRNA from 1 species
CUGAAGUGGGGUAUUUCCCUCCCACUAGGCUGUUUAGGCUCAGUCAAAACCCCAAUAGGUUAGGCUCCAGUAAAACAGUUUCUCUUAAGAGCAGGCCUUCUUAACAAAAACAGAAAGUGGUGUAUUUCAAAUGGCCACUUUUCCCCUCCCCCUGCCAGAAGCAUAAGGGGAAUUUUGAUUUUUCUCCAGUCUUCUUUGUGAGAACUUAUGGAAUUCUAGGAGGUAAAGCUCACAAAAGUGUGGGGAUUCCCCUGGAGUUUUUAACUCACAGACAUGACCACACUGAGCUUUCAGCAAUUUGUCAAUUACAGUUCAAGUUUCCGAUCCAGGCACUGGUUUCUAUGGAGGUUUCUGCUCAUGCAUUUCUGCUCUGCCAUGCUGGUGUCCAAGACGAUCAGUGCAAAAGGAAUGCUCAAUUCUAGGGCUGUGCUGCCUCAAAAGCAGUUCAGACGCAAAGACCAGCAUCCCAGGGGAGCAGCCAUUCUGCUCUGCGUGAGAAACUGAUUGCCCAGGACCUCUGUUCUGAGCUGCAGGCCGGCCCAUCCACCUGCCUAGUUGACACCUCUCCUUGGAAGUCUCUCAGGCCCUGCAAACACAGCUGAAUUCAUCAUCUUCCUCCAUAAACUUGCUUCUCUUGCUCCCCACCUCAAUGAGCAAUACCACCAGAAGAGUGCAUUCUGGACCUCCAUCUCUCCAGACCCUGACUUCCAGUCCAUUAAAAGAGAAGACCUUUGCUGGAUCCAAG